UACCUCCUACGGGGCGCAGCAGUGGGGAAUAUUGCACAAUGGGGGAAACCCUGAUGCAGCGACGCCGCGUGAGUGAAGAAGUAUUUCGGUAUGUAAAGCUCUCUCAGCAGGGAAGAUAAUGACGGUACCUGAGUAAGAAGCCCCGGCUAACUACGUGCCAGCAGCCGCGGUAAUACGUAUGGUGCAAGCGUUAUCCGGAUUUACUGGGUGUAAAGGGAGCGCAGGCGGCGCGUUAAGCCUGGUGUGAAAGCCCGCGGCCCAACCGCGGGACUGCAUUGGGAACUGGCGCGCUGGAGUGCCGGAGG
rnacentral:rRNA from 1 species